rnacentral:rRNA from 1 species
AACGAACGCUGGCGGCAGGCCUAACACAUGCGAGUCGAGCGCCCCGCAAGGGGAGCGGCGGACGGGUGAGUAACGCGUGGGAAUAUGCCCUUUGCUACGGAAUAGUCUCGGGAAACUGGGGGUAAUACCGUAUACGCCCUUUGGGGGAAAGAUUUAUCGGCGAAGGAUUAGCCCGCGUUGGAUUAGGUAGUUGGUGGGGUAAUGGCCUGCCAAGCCGACGAUCCAUAGCUGGUUUGAGAGGAUGAUCAGCCACACUGGGACUGAGACACGGCCCAGACUCCUACGGGAGGCAGCAGUGGGGAAUCUUAGACAAUGGGGGCAACCCUGAUCUAGCCAUGCCGCGUGAGUGAUGAAGGCCUUAGGGUUGUAAAGCUCUUUCAGCUGGGAAGAUAAUGACGGUACCAGCAGAAGAAGCCCCGGCUAACUCCGUG